ACACACACACACACACACACACACACAAAAUGGUAUUCAGAGAUCAUGUCCUAAAGGGUUGUUAUUGUCCUAACAUGGGCCGUACGUUGCCUGUCCACCAAUCCGAUCACACGGACCACUAAACCUCCACACUGCCCCCAACUGUGUGUGUGUGUGUGUCUGUCUGUUUGUUGCACGAGUGACUGACUGACAGCUGUCACAAAGCCUGAGAAGCAACAGACCGUACGUACGGUGUGAGUGUGUGUUUGUGGUACCCUGGGUUGGACGGAUUGUGUGUGUGUGUGUACAGGCCUGCGGACAUGAGAAAAGGUCAGUGUCUGCUAGCUAUUGGAAUGUUUGCUACGCUGGGCCGAUGUUGCAAACGCACAUUUGCCCGGAGAAGAAUGCUGAUUCGCAGCAGAUGGUAGUUGUUAAAGGGGGAUCGCACACAAACGCACACACACGCUCACACACACACACACACACACACACACACACUCACACACAUACGAUCACACCUGCUGACAAGGACAUGCCCCCACAUAGGAAAGACACAUGAAACGUUUGGAAAAAUACAAACAAAACUGAUUGAAAUUAAACAUAUUUUUGUUUUGGUUCAUCUUGUUAUUUCUUUAAUUCUUUAUUCAUUUUGCCUUUAUAAAUCAUUAUUAUUUUAAAAUGAAUCGUGCAUGUUCACAGAGCAUAUAAAACAGGCUGUCAAAUCACGUGCGGCUGUUGAUUUGUAUAUCAUUAGUUUUGUUCUGAUCAUUUCUGUGUUCAAAUGGCAAAAAAUGCAAAAAGCGGAUUCCUUUUCCUGAAGGCGCGAGGAAACGGAGUGAAAUCCAGGGGAAACCUGGCCGGCGAGCACACGGCCUGUUAUGUGUAGAUAAACACACACUGCACUCCAAAUCGCAUGAAUAAUACAGAACGGCACAUUUACAUGGCACAUUAACGGCCCUCAACCUGCUUGAUGUUUAAUUCCCACAAACACACAACGUGUCACUGAGAACGUCCCACACUUAGCGUUUCAUGUUUAUAUUCCAUCCUAUUAGUGACGCGCGCUCCGGCCUUCUGACACAAAGCACUGAACUGUAUCGCGGCAUUAUUGUUAUUCGUAGACCCUCAACUCCGUUCCACUUCCCUCGCUCAAGUGUGCCGGCAAUUUGGAGCAAAAGCACGGCGGGGGUCCGACGGCGGCGGGGGCGGGGGGGAGAGCGGCCGAGGCGACAAACGAGCCAAUUUGGAGACACAAAUGGCCGACCACGGCGCUCUGCCAUUGUUACACCGCAGAACAACGCGCAGGAGGCGAGGAGCGAAUGUGACAUCGGUGGCUCCGAGCGUGUCCCUGUUGGCCAAUACGCCGCCCAUCUGCAUGUGCGUGUGUGUUUGCUUUGAGUAAGUAAGAGGGUUAAUGCGUGAGAGGAAAUGUCCAUCCUCCCAAAGCAUGUGGCAGAACGUGGAGAGCAGCAUGAAUAAAUAAUGAGUUACUCAUUAGCUGUCACUCAUUGGAGAGGCGGAGUCAUCGGUGGCGGCCCUGAUUCAUUGCACUGAUACCCUCACUGCACCGUAUCUUCAGCCAACUCGCUCUAAAGCAAUGUGCUAAUUGAUAACACUACUUGCAACUGACACAAAAGGAUCAUGUGACAUAUCAACACAAACACGCACACCGACUCACAGACGAAAACCGAAUUGAAUGAACGAAAAAUGUAACUGACUUCCACCACGGUUAUACAAGAUUGCAUUGUUGCCGAUUCCUAAAUCCCGCCCUCUUGCUCCGUGAGGAAGCAGGAUGUUGUGAGGUGGAAUCUGAUGUGUGUUGUGAGGCCUUCUUGGUUUCCGAACCCGGCUUCUGAACAUGGACAUAGAGGUGACGCGUUGUGCCUAAACGUCAUCCGAGCAAUUGACAACAAUUGAUAAGAUUGUAAUUAAAGAAAUUACAUUCUCAGAUUUCAAUGAUCUUGGGAAGUAACUGAAAAAAAAAGGAAAUUUCCAAUUUAAAUGCCCCGUGGUUGACUCCCAGCAACCCUCACACCCCUGCUCCUGCCAACAUGGCGGCUGCCUGAUAAAUAGCCGUCCCUUGUGCCUAUAAACAACAAUCUCUCUCGCACACACACACGCACACACACACACACGGAAGGUGCUCAUUCUAGCCCACUAAUUCCUAUUCAUUUAAAACAGCCACCAGGGCACCGCGCAGCCUCGCCCGGCCCCCGACACCAGCCAUUCAUUAUUCAGCCGCUUGCUUUAUGAAUGGCUUACAGGUGGUUGCUACCAAGAGCAACAGAGCAGCGCCGCUCGUAAAUCACAACACACACACAAACACACACACAUGCACUUUCUUUUUCUUGUAAAACAUUUUUUGUACUAUUAUUAAGGAUGCACAGCCUUGUGUGGCUUUAUUUGCCCAACGUGGGGGUGCACGACAACGUCAAUUUCUCUCGAUGCUGUUUAAUUAGUAAUGAGGACAAAUAUUUGUUUGUUGCAGCACCGCGGGGCACGAAGUGAGGGGGGAGAGGAGUGGGGGGGCCCACAGGACUAAAUUAGUUUCCCUAUGUUUGUUGUCAGAAACAAGCUGUCUAACUCUUCUCUUUAUCUCCGAAGGCAACCAAUGACGGCCUCGAGACCGGCCGUGUGUGUGUGUGUGUGUGUGUGUGUGUGUGUGUGUGUGAAGGAGGCCGCUGUUUAACAUAGUCUGCGGUACAACUAAUAGAUCACGCUGCGUUACAUUUGUCAACGUGACACUUUCUCCCAUAUUGAGUUACACUCCGGGGCUUCUCCUCCGCGCUCUCCAUCGCACGCCUCGUCUUCCUCCUCUCUCGCCCUCUUCCUCCAUCCGUCUCUCUGCUCUUUCUCUCAACGCAAACCGUGACUCGGGCUCCUCGCGGCGAGGACGAGGGCGGGACCCGAGCAGCGGUGGCCGAGGUGCCCUCGCUGCCUCUCAUCCACCUGGCCGUGAUGGAUGGCGUGAUGGACUGAGCGCUCUCUGGGAGUUUUUUGGUCAAGUCAUGCGUCAGGGUCCCUCUCUUUCUUCUGUUGUGGACUGUGCUGGUGUUCAGUGAGGGAGUCACAAGGAGAGCGGCUUUAUAGGAACUUUUAAUGGAUUAGUACAGCGCUGGAGAUGUCGAUACUCUGUGAACCCGAAAGGAGGCGUUUAGCUCACCUGUGCACCUCCGAAUAGAUCAGAAAUGGACUUUUAUGUACAGUGCGAGUGUGUGUGUCUGCAUUGCGGUGGUGAUUGAUGGGGCCCCUCUCUGUCUUCCAGACGCUUCCACUCGGCUCGUCUUUCACUGCCAAGUCUCUGAUUCUGUUUCCACUCUGUCACUCACUCGCACACACCUACACAACCACACACACACACACACACAUAGACACUGUGUAUCUGUUUCUUUGUCCGUCAGUUACUCAGAAACAAACACAGCGAGAUAUGAAGGUGCAUCUAAUGAUGGUCACAGCAGCAAUGCACACACACACACACACACACACACACACACACACACUGGAUCCGUUUUGUUUUUCCAUGUGACCUCUCAAAGAAAAAAGCUUGUUUCAGGCCGUGCUGUCUUUGCAGUUGUCAGGUAGAUAUCUAUAUAAAUGAUAUAUAUCGUGUGUGUGUGUUUGUGUGUGUCUGUUUGGGGUGACCACAUUUAACUGGAUCCCUAAAUAAAAUGGCGGUUUCUAAAAGCUCUUACACAAUCUUCAGGGUUGUUUGUUUUCUAUUCUCUCGGCCGGUUGCUUUGGUAAAACCACGAUAGAAAUGUGUGGGAUCGCUUCACAACACCAAGGGGUAACAUCGACUGAUGCAGGGGGGGAUGUAUGACCUGUUAGGACUUCUUCUCUAGACUGCUUCAUCCUGCAGGUGUAAUCCCGCCGUGUCGCAAACCGUGCUUCCCCUUGGAUUGACGAGGUCGAGAGGAAGCCCGGAGCAAAACUUUUCUUCAAUACCUAAAUGAAACGCCAGCACUCCACUGUAUUCAUUGUGCCGCGCAGCUGUUUGUGCGCUCUUUGCUGACACUGACUUCUGACACUGACACCGAAUUCUGAUGUUUACAACUGACUUCUGACUUCAGCUGACAGACAAUCCGGUGUAACGCUGUAAAUGGAGGCUCUGCAGUGACCAUGUUAAACUAGCUUGUUGUGUAGCAGUCAGAGACUAACUGACCCCCCUGAAAAGCAGCCGGCUGUGAGGUUUGGAGAAUACAUGGGUCUAACUACCUGGACACACACACACACACUCGCAUGCGCUGUGAUUCAUAACCCAGUGCGCUGCCUGCUGACACAAAGGCGAUAGGAGCUGCAGCUUGUACAAGCCUGGACUUUUAUUCCUUUCAAUUUGUCUUGCUUAAAAAACAAACCGGCCGUGAGCCAGUGAAUAAAUAAAUAAAGCGGUACGCGCCAAGGGAGGGAGCAAGGAUGGAUGAAUGGCCCCGUCUCAGCAGUGAGGAGGGGGGAUAGACCUACCUUGGAGAAGAAAGUCUGGGAUAUAUAUACAGUGGGGAGAAGUAUUUGAAUUGUAUUUGUAUUUGACACUGCAGGAUUUCCCCCUUACAAAGCAUGUAGCACUCUGUAAUUUGUAUCAUAGGUACUCUUCUACUCCUCUCUGGGAACCGUCACCUUAUCGUGGUGGAGAGGUUUGUGUGUCCCUAUGACCCUGAGGGCUGUGUUGUCGGGAGCAUUUUGCUCCUGGUAGGGUUAGCCUUGGCAAAGUGGUCUCAGGCGAGGGGCCAGACUAAGAAUGGUUCAAAAAGACCCUAUGAAAAAACGGAAGAGGGAAGGAGUUACCUGGCCCGGAGGGAGCCCGGGGCCCCCAUUUGGAGCCAGGCCCAGAUGGAGGGCCCGACAGCGAGCGUCUGGUGGCCAGGUUUACCGCGGAGCCCCGCCGGGCACAGCCCGAAGGACUGUGUUAAGCACCCUAACACUCUACUCCCCAUGGGCUCACCACCUGUGGGGGAAACCGAUGGGGUCGAUUGCGCUGCUACAAGGGUGGCAGUGACAGUGGGGGGUCUAGACGGAAAAGACCUGGGCGGCAGAUGCUGGCUCUGGGGACGUGGGACGUAACCUCUCUGGAUCUGGUGGGGCUUACCUCUACGCACAGCCUCUCUGGAACCACACUCCUGGAUAGGGGAUGGACUCUAUUCUACUCCUGAGUAGCCCAUGUUGUGAGGCGCCAGGCGCGUGUGGGGAUACUCAUAAGUCCCUGGCUGAGUGCUGCUACAUUGGAUUUUACCCCGCCGUGACACUACGCCUUCGGGUGGUGGGGGGGAAAACUCUGACUGUUGUCUGUGCAUAUGCACCAAACAGCAGCUCAGAGUAUUCGGCCUUUUUGGAGACCCUGAAUGGAGUCCUGCAUGGGGCUCCUGUAGGGGACUCCAUAGUCCUACUGGGAGACUUCAAUGCGCACGUGGGCGACGAUGGAGAUAACUGGAGAGGCGUGAUUGGGAGGAAUGGCCUCCCUGAUCUGAACCCGAGCGGGUGUUUGUUACUGGACUUCUGUGCUAUUCACGGAUUGUCCAUAACAAACACCAUGUUCGAACAUAAGGAUGUUCAUAAGUGUACGUGGUACCAGAGCACCCUAGGCCAAAGAUCAAUGAUCGAUUUUGUAAUCGUAUCGUCUGAUCUGAGGCCGCAUGUUCUGGACACUCGGGUAAAGAGAGGGGCAGAGCUGUCAACUGAUCACCAUCUGGUUGUGAGCUGGGUCAGAGGAUGGGGGAAGACUCGGGACAGACCCGGUAAACCCAAGCGUGUAGUGAGGGUGAACUGGGAACGUCUGGAGGAGGCCCCGGUCCAAAAGAUUUUCAACUCACACCUCCGGCGGAGCUUCUCUCACAUUCCUGUGGAGGUAGGGGACAUUGAACCAGAGUGGUCUAUGUUCAAACCCU
ensembl:lncRNA